ACAAAAUAAUGAAGCUUUAGUUUUUAUAUUAUUAUUAUUAUUAUUAUUAUUAUUAUAAUGAGGGCAUAAGUUCAGAUGGUACGGUGAUAGGCGGCGGCGCGGCGAAAGGGAUGUAGAUACAUGCAUAUACAUACAGAUAUAUGUGUAUGUAUAUGUUUGUCGGAGAUAGAAUUGAAUGAGGGGUAUAUUCGUCCAUUCACUUAAAAAACAAAAAAAAAUAAAAAAA